rnacentral:tRNA from 1 species
UCCCUGUUGGUCAAGUGGUUAAGACUCUACACUUCCAAUGCAGGGAGGGUGGGUUUGAUCCCUGGUCAGGGAA